AUAGACGUUGUACUUAAGUGUGUAUUUACAUAUGGUUGCAGGAUUAAACAUGUUGUAACAUUCAUCUAUUGCAAGGUUGAGGUUUAGAAGUGUGUUUAAUUUAGUUACUGAGUGUCUCUAUAUAAAUAUUCAUUAUAUUCACAGAGAUGGGAUCAAAAUAAUAGUGGAUACAUAGCUUUUCAAUUAUAGAACAAUUCAAAAUAUCUAUUUCAAAAUGGCGACUUCUAUAGGUUCAGUUCAUAACAGUUCAGAUUUAGUGAAGGACUAUGUUUGUGGAGCCUGCGAAAGUAAAAGUAUUCAAGAAAUUGCUGAUUAUUUUUGUGCAUCCUGCAUGAAGUUUUUUUGCGGAAAGUGCCUUUUUCAACAUAAUCAGUUAUAUGCAAAUCAUUCCAAAUACGGAAGAGAAGAAACAAAUAAAUGGCCUCUUACAAAGACAAUGGAGGAUUUUCUUCUUAAAUGCGAUGUCCACAAGGACAAGAAACUGAAAAUGUUUUGCCAGGAUCACAGUCAGCUGUGUUGCACUGAUUGUGCUUUUCUAAACCACAGCAAGUGCACUGAUGUGGCUCUAAUUACUGAUUCAGUCAAAACGAUGUCAGUGGAUAUGCAACAGCUGUCAAACAGUCUUGAAACUAUUCUCGAUGAACUUAAUAAGUUAAAAAAAUGCACGAGAGUCUACAAUUGAGUCUGUAGAGUUAUCAUGGAAUGAAAAACUGCAAGAAAUCCAAGAUCUGCGAAAGAAAUUAAAUGCUGCUCUGGAUGAAUUAGAAAAAAACAACCUUGAAAGAACUGGAUGAAAUUAGGGCCACAUUGCAAACCUCUCUCAAGAAAGAUGUUGACAACUGCACCAGACUGAAGGAUGAACUGAAACAAAUCAGUGAAGCUGUAAAUGCCCUUUGUGAUAAAAGCAAGAAAGAAAUUGAGUUCAUAGCCAACAGAAAAUGUCUGGACAAAAUACAGGAGUCUGAGGCAUAUCUUAAGGAGAACCCUGUGAAGUUGCAGAGGUCACUGAUAUUCCAGGCAAACAUGGACAUUGAGAAGUACCUGACUCAGCAGUCUAGUCUAGGGAGGAUUAUAGACAAUAUGCAGUCUCUCACAAUCAAGAUGAAUUUAGACCAGGUGAUGACUGUGAAGAGGAAAUUGGAGUAUAGUGUGAGCAUAUCAAGUGACACACAGACUUGCAGAAUUAGUGGCAUUUGCUGCCUGCCUAGUGGCCAGGUCAUUGUUACAGAUAUGGAUAGUCGGAAAGUGAAGCUGUUAGAUCAGCAUUGCGCUGUGUCCAGUCACUGUGAUGUGUCUGGUGCUCCAUAUGACAUUUGCCAAAUCACAUCCAGUGAGGUGGCUGUAACUGUUAAUUAAGAUGUCCAGUUUAUCUCUGUCAGCAAUGGGCAGCUGGUUAGUUGGAGGAAGUUCCAGUUACCGCAUGAGGCUCGAGGUAUUGCCAUCCAUCAGGGAGCAUUGUUUGUCAUCUCUGGCACUGCUCUGUACCGCUACUCUUUGACUGGAUCACUUGUGAAAAAGCUUAAUGAGGAUGCAAGUUGCUGUUAUACAGUGUUUAAGUGUGCAGCGAGUCCUGCUGGGGACAGGAUCUAUGUCACCAACAGCGUCAUGCACAAGCUCAUCACCCUGGCUACAGAUGACACCCUGGUAUCCACUAUCAAGGACCCUGAACUACAAGACCCAUGGGGUGUGUAUGUAACACCUGCAGGACAAGUGUUUGUCUGCGGAUGCAGAUCAAAUACUGUCAUACAGGUGGAUCUAGAGGGAAGAAAGAAACUGGCAACUCUGGUGUCAUCUAAAGAUGGAGUACUCAAGUCAGUGUCUGUCUGCUACAACACCAAGACUGACGGGAUAAUUGUGGGACUACAUAAUAACAAUACAAUCAAUGUUAUGGAAUUGCAAUAGCUCUUCCAGUGGACAAAAACCAUUCAUAUAAACUAGAUUUUAAAUGUAUUUCCAUGUUUUCUUCGAAGGGCAAAUUCAGUCAAAACUUCAUAAAUAGGUUAGAUAAACAACAACUUAUUUAUACAGUUCAUAUUUCUAUGUAAAUAAAUGUACAAAAUUUAAUUUUAUUUAAAAAAUGGGUUGCAUAAAAACUCAUAACA